UCAUAUUUAAGUAGUGAAAUUUAAAACACUAAAAUAUAUGCCAAAAAAAUAUAAAUAAGCAUACAUCGAUGUUGCAAAUUAGUUCUUUUUAUUUGAUAAAAAAAAGUUGCAAAAUUAAAAAAAAGAACAUUAUAAAAUAAAAUAGUAAUAUUUCAUUGAAUAUAAACUAUAAUUACACCCAUAAUAUACAAUAUUAAAAUGGAAACAAUUUUCACCCUGUCUUUAAGUUGAAGGAGAAGUCAUUCUUCUUUCAAGUCUUCCACUUUACUUUUACUCAAACCAGACAUCAAAUGUGUAUGCUUCAAACAUAAAAGCAAAAUUUUGGAGGAAGAUUUAUUUAUUUUAUUCUAUAUUAUUAAGUAUUUACAAUACUGUAAUUUAUUUUAAAAACGACAACUACUAACUAGUUAUAACAACAACAUAAGGAACGAAAAUUACAUUCACCUUUCGGAAAUCCUAACCAUAAACAUCUUACGGCACAAUCAAUACAUAGUCCACCAAUGCAUGUUUCCGCUAUAUCGCUACCCGUUGCUCCUGUUAAAAAAAUCUCUCAAACUCAAAAUUCCUUUAUAUAUUUUAACAAUGAUAUACAAAAUAGAAUUUACAGGAAAAAGUUCAUAUUUCUUACCAAAAGAUAGGAGCAAUGUAAUGCAUAAAACUCCCAUGAGAAAAAGUUUGCAAAUGUGCACUGUCAUUUUUUCUGAAGAUUUUGUCUUUGUAUUCUAUUAUUAUCUUUUGUUCUCAGUAUUAUGCAUAGGAAACUUCAAGUUCUUUAUAUAGUACUCAUUUUAUAAAAAAUAUUUUGAGAGUUAAAU
rnacentral:lncRNA from 1 species